CUGAGAGGUUAACCCCCCACACUGGUACUGAGACACGGACCAGACUCCUACGGGAGGCAGCAGUGAGGAAUAUUGGUCAAUGGACGCAAAGUCUGAACCAGCCAUGCCGCGUGCAGGAUGACGGCUCUAUGAGUUGUAAACUGCUUUUGUACGAGGGUAAACGCGAUACGUGUAUCUGUCUGAAAGUAUCGUACGAAUAAG
rnacentral:rRNA from 1 species